UACAAUGACAAUAAAAGCUUUCUGUUUCUAAGAAGGAUGUUUCAUCUGUGAAUCUGAUGUUAGUAGUAUGUGAAAGAUAUGUGGUGUACUUUUCCUGACUGUCCUUCCCAUGUGCCUGCAGGCAGCGGCGAGACGCCCACACUCGAUUCCAUCGACUCCUACAUGAAGAAGCUUCACGGCAUCAUUCUGUCCAACCCACAGGAGCACCAGCACCUGCUCAGCAGCGUCAGGGAUGUGGUCAACCGCCUCGACAGGUAAUUGAGAGGCCCCACCCCUCGUGCAGUAGCCCCUCCUAUCCUGCUAUGACCACAUUUUGUGUUAAGCACUUAUUCAAUUGUUUCCUAUUAUUUAUUUUUUUACAAUGCUGUUUUUAUCUGCUUAUUUUUAUUUUUUUAUUUAGCAGUUCACGUUUGCCAUGCAUUCAAAAAAAAAAAAAGCAACAACAUUAUUUUAGCAAUGGUGGGGUUUCAUCUGCAUGGGUACAUGAUUUUAAGCUCAAUUUUAUACUUGUAAUUUCUUUCAUGUUAGGUAAGAAAGUGAAAUGUUGUAUUUGUGUGAUGAGAGGCAGGUUCAUCUGUAGCUUGUGUCUUUGUGCUGGAGUUCUGAAUUCCCUGUAUGUUCUUGACAUUUGAAGAAUUCAAUAAAGCAAAUGUAUGAAGACA